rnacentral:rRNA from 1 species
AGUGAACGCUGGCGGUAGGCCUAACACAUGCAAGUCGAACGGCAGCACAGUAAGAGCUUGCUCUUACGGGUGGCGAGUGGCGGACGGGUGAGGAAUACAUCGGAAUCUACUUUUUCGUGGGGGAUAACGUAGGGAAACUUACGCUAAUACCGCAUACGACCUACGGGUGAAAGCAGGGGAUCUUCGGACCUUGCGCGAUUGAAUGAGCCGAUGUCGGAUUAGCUAGUUGGCGGGGUAAAGGCCCACCAAGGCGACGAUCCGUUGCUGGUCUGAGAGGAUGAUCAGCCACACUGGAACUGAGACACGGUCCAGACUCCUACGGGAGGCAGCAGUGGGGAAUAUUCGACAAUGGGCGCAAGCCUGAUCCAGCCAUACCGCGUGGGUGAAGAAGGCCUUCGGGUUGUAAAGCCCUUUUGUUGGGAAAGAAAAGCAGCAGGUUAAUACCCCGCUGUUCUGACGGUACCCAAAGAAUAAGCACCGGCUAACUUCGUG